UCGAGCAACUUACCCUGAAAACUAGUUGGCAACACUAGUCUGUUUAGCUACUUUCUCACUUCGUGCCACACUGCUCCUGCUCCUCUCCAUAAAAACAAUUUAAAAGGAAGAGUGCAGCGCACCUGAUCUCUCCGGGGUCGAACGAAAGAGUCCCCAUUUGGAACUAAAAAAUAAAUACAAAUACAAGUGGUUCCUGAUAGUGAUUGUGUGGGUCUCUCAUCACAGUCUUACCAUCUCAGUAUGAGCCUCCACACCAUGAACAGCCUGCAUCUGGUGACCAAAAAGGACUGUGGCUAACCAGCUGGUGAGUGGAGCCUUGCAGCUGGCCAGGGACACCGCCCGCUUCCUGGAUGAGAUGCAGCUGGAGCAGGGUCAACUGGACACCUCAGGUGUCUGGAACAUCCCGGCUCUGGGGAACCUGAUUUCCUGGCAGAAGGUUGAUUAUGACUUCAACUACCACAAGGUGGAAUUCCCCUGCAAUAUUAAUAUGCUCAUAACUUCAGAGGGCAGAUCCCUGCUACCGGUGAGGACAAAGGCGUCAAAUAAAAUUUUAUUGGCCACAUCCGCAAUACCUUCUGAUAAGUAUGUGUGUGUAGUGAAAUGCUUGUGUUCCUAGCUCCAACAGUGCAGUAGUAUCUAACAAUUCACAAUACACACUAAAAUAAUGGAAUUAAGAAAUAUAUAAAUAUCAGAUUGAGCAAUGUCGGAGUGGCAUUGACUAAAAUAUAGUAUAUACUUAUGAGAUGACUAAAGCAGUAUUUAAACAUUAUCAAAGUGACCAGUGAUUCCAAGUCUAUGUAUAUAGGGUAGCAGCCUCUAAGGUGCAGGAGGAGUAACCGGAUGGAAGAUGGCUAGUGAUGUCGAUUUAAGUCUGAUGGCCUUGAGAUAGAAGCUGUUUUUCAGUCUCGGUCCCAGCUUUGAUGCACCUGUAC